AUGCCCAGCCUCGUCGACAUUGAAGGCCGGCCCAGGUUGUCCAGGGGUAAUGACCACAGGGGUAGGCGCAACCGGUGGCCCGGAGGUACGACCUCCGCGUAUGACCGCUGGACGGAGGGCGAGCCCUCAUCCUCAGAUCCGCUGUCCGAGAGGCAGAUGCGUGCCUCAGAGCCAGGGGAUCCGUGGCUGCGCGGGGAACCCGGAGAGGAGGGCGAAGGCGGGGCGGCGAGCGCCAUAGUGGCAGCCAGGCCGGCGGCGGACUAG
rnacentral:rRNA from 1 species